rnacentral:lncRNA from 10 species
GGAGCCUGUGGCGGCAGCGGCGAUGGAACCAGCGGAGCAGCCGAGCGAGUUAGUGUCAGCCGAGGGCCGAAACCGGAAGGCGGUGCUGUGCCAGCGUUGCGGCUCCCGGGUGCUGCAGCCAGGGACCGCUCUCUUCUCUCGCCGACAGCUUUUCCUUCCCUCCAUGAGAAAGAAGCCAGCUCUGUCUGACGGCAGCAAUCCUGACGGCGAUCUCCUCCAGGAACACUGGCUGGUUGAGGACAUGUUCAUUUUUGAGAAUGUGGGCUUCACCAAGGACGUGGGCAACAUCAAGUUUCUGGCAAGACUUCUUUAAUGGAUAGUAUCAUUUACUGAACCUACUGGGCAUGGUCCUCAUGGAGUUUUGGUUCAACUGGAAUCUCUGUGCCAACCCAGGAUACAAACUUCCAUCCAGAUGCAUGGAUACAAAUUUCCAUAGCUCCGGGGCUGCUCUAACAGUUUGAUAUCAGCAGACGUGUUUAAGCCUUCAACUUGAUUUCCAAUUAUUCCAUCAUUUCUAUUCUGAAAUGACUCACUGUCGUAGAAGGAAGUUUAUUAUAUAACCAAGGUUUCAGGUAUCCUCCUGUCACCACCUCUACUAUUCAGGAGGCCUAAAAUUGAAAUAAGUACUAAACAGAAACCUUACCAUCUGAAGUCCCUUCCAUUGUUUUCUAGUUGCUUCCUCAUUCCUUUACCCCCAAACUUUCUAAGGGCUCCCCGACUGCAGUGCAAGGUGGCCUUGGGCACAGUUUUGCAACCAACCUACUCCCCUGGAAAGAUGGCUUCCUUCUCCAAUUAGCCUGAAUGAGCUUUAGUAAGCAAUUGAGAGAACUGUGUUUUUCCGACAAACGGUCACAUGUCCAUCGUUAUGGCAUGUGCAGAAAAACAGAGUUAUCCACACAAGUCAGGAGCAAAACCCAAGUAGAUGCCUCUAGGGGCACAUGGCCCCUCACAUCACAAGCCAGAACCUAAGCUAAGCAUUUUUUAAAUUGAGUUUGAGACUAGCCUGGGCAACAUAGUGAGACCCCAUCUCUAUUUAAAAAAUGAACAAAAUUACCUGGGCAUAGUGGUGUAUACCUGUAGUCCCUGCUACUUGGGAGGCUCAGGUGGGAGGAUCACUUGAGCCCCAAAGAUGGUGGCUGCAGUAAGCCAAGAUCACACCACUGGCACUCCAGCCUGGGCAACAGAGUGAGACCCUGUCUCAAACAAACAACAACAGUAACAACAAAAAAAUAUAUAGCGACUUGAAUAGGAAACCAUAGUAUUUCAUUGUUUUAAUUUGCAUUUAUUUUAUUUCUAGUGAAACUUUUAUAUACGUAUCGGUCAUUUCUAUUUCCUUUUUUGAGAACUGCCAAAUGUUGCCCUAGUAGCCAAAAAUAUCAGGUUGCUAUUCUGCCUUUUCAGUUUGAUCUGAAAGAAAUAAAGGCAUUUAAGCAAUGGAAAUUAGAUUUCUGCAUGUCCUUGGGAAGAAUAUAUAAAUUGAAAAAACAAAGGAGAGCUGAAACCUGAACCUUGGGGUUUAGCUUAAGGUCAACCAACUGAUUAUCUAGUCAGCUAUAAAAUGCAAACGUCAUUUCUUCAUUUCCCUCACACCUAAUAGGCUCUCAGUACAUACUUGUGAAUCAGCUGCUAUUUGCUGUGGGUAGAUAGAGGCAACCUGUGCUUUCUGCUCCGAGUAUAGAAACUUCCGUUUUCUAUUGGGGAGAGCAGUUGAUUUUGUGAAAGCCUGAUUGUUUCCACAUAAUUGUCUGUUGUUUUACAAAAACAUGGAAUCAAAGAUGGGCAGUGGUGUACUGACAUUUCACAAAUUGUCACCAUGUUGUAUAUGAGGCUACACAUGUAACUGAGUAACUAUGAGGACUUCUGCUUCUGAUAAUGGUGGAUAGGUCCUUUGGACUACCCAGCUCACUGGUUAACUAGAAAGGCUGGACAAAAUACUUUAGAAAUCUGUGUGAACACACCAAGAGAGCCGACUUGACUUUGAAGAAUUGCUAAACCAGGACAGCAGAGGAGAUGGGAACCCUGGGAGGUGGGCUUGGUGUGAGGGCCACCGUUCUCCUGGGAGCAUUUGCCAAACUUGGAGGUGAUUCAGAGGCUUAGCAGUGAUUUUAGCAGCCUUUCAGAAGUAGGGGAUGGGGCCUGUGAAAGGGCGAUGGACUUGGUGGUGUUACUCACUUUUGGUUGAAGCCCUCAGUCUUUUGCACCCCAGGAAUAAGGGUGAGGCGGUGUAGGAAACAGGCUCUCGGGACUGCAGCCCAGCCUCCGAUUACGGAUCUUAAUCCUUGAAAUUAGAUUAAGGUGAUCCCAGAGUGGUAGUUUGCCCAAACUCUUUGGAUAAGCAAACAAAACCCCUCUCUAGAGGAUGUUAUUAUUAUCCUAAACCCAGAUUCUUUCUACAAUUUUGCUAAUACAAUAUCCUGAGUACAACAAGAUGUAACCAGGCACGUGAGACAAGAUAGCAGGCCCACAGUGGCUGGAGACAUCGGUGCUAUCAGACUAAAAUAACUGCUUACCAUGUUCAAGGAGAGACACUAGUUUGGGAAUUCAGCAGCUACAUGAACAUGUUUUUUUAAAAAGUAAAUUCUAGAAUUUGUAAGAAUCCAAUAAUCAAAAUUAAGAAUACAGUGGAAACUUGAUUGGGCAUGGUGGCUCAUGCCCAUAAUCCCAGCACUUUGGGAGGCCAAGGCCGGCGGAUCAUGAGGUCAGGAGUUCAAGACCAGCCUGGCCAAUGUGAAACCCUGUCUCUACUAAAAAUGCAAAAAUUAGCCAGGCAUGGUGGUGCACGCCUGCAAUCCCAGCUACUCCGAAGGCUGAGGCAGGAAAAUCGCUUGAACCCAGGAGGCGGAGGUUGCAGUGAGCCGAGAUUGUGCCACUGCACUCCAGCCUGGGACAGGGAGAGAUUCCGUCUCAACAAAAGAAAAAAUACAGUGGAACCAGCAUGGGCAACAUAGUGAGACCCUGUCUCCACAAAAAACAAAAUAGCUGGGUGUGGUGGCACCUGCUUGUAGUCCCAGCUACUUUUGAGGCUGAGGUGAGAGGAUCACUUGAGCCCAGGAGUUAGAAGCUUCAGUGAGCUAUGAUGAUGCCACUAUACUCAAGCCUGGGCAACAGUGAGCCCCUGUCUCUAAAGUUCACUGGAAUGCUUUAACAGCAGCUUAGGCACAACUGAGGAGAGAACUAGAAAACUAGGGGUUAGACAUAACUAACAGUAGAUAUGUAAGACCACAACACAAAACCUUAUAUGACAUUACUGAGAGAAAGUAAAAGAAAACAAAUUCAUGGGGCCAGGAAACUAUAGCCCACAGGCCAAAUUCAUUCAGCCAGUACCUAUUGAGGCUCAGAAACUUUCAAGCUAAAAAUAGUUUUUACUUUUUUUUUUAUGAGACAGGAUCUUAACUCUGUUACCUAGCCUAGAGUGCAGUGGCA